rnacentral:rRNA from 1 species
GAUGAACGCUGGCGGCGUGCCUAAUACAUGCCAGUCGAGCGAACGGACGAGAAGCUUGCUUCUCUGAUGUUAGCGGCGGACGGGUGAGUAACACGUGGAUAACCUACCUAUAAGACUGGGAUAACUUCGGGAAACCGGAGCUAAUACCGGAUAAUAUUUUGAACCGCAUGGUUCAAAAGUGAAAGACGGUCUUGCUGUCACUUAUAGAUGGAUCCGCGCUGCAUUAGCUAGUUGGUAAGGUAACGGCUUACCAAGGCAACGAUGCAUAGCCGACCUGAGAGGGUGAUCGGCCACACUGGAACUGAGACAUGGUCCAGACUCCUACGGGAGGCAGCAGUAGGGAAUCUUCCGCAAUGGGCGAAAGCCUGACGGAGCAACGCCGCGUGAGUGAUGAAGGUCUUCGGAGCGUAAAACUCUGUUAUUAGGGAAGAACAUAUGUGUAAGUAACUGUGCACAUCUUGACGGUACCUAAUCAGAAAGCCACGGCUAACUACGUG